rfam:Schistosoma rodhaini strain Burundi genome assembly, scaffold: SROB_scaffold0007515
AUCCGGCUGACGAGUCCCAAAUAGAACGAAACGCGUAUCCUGGAU